rnacentral:tRNA from 1 species
GGAGAGGUGGCUGAGUUUGGCUGAAGGCGCUCGAUUGGAAAUCGAGUAGGCGGGCUAAAACCUGUCUCGAGGGUUCGAAUCCCUCCCUCUCCGCCA